GAUGAACGCUAGCUACAGGCUUAACACAUGCAAGUCGAGGGGCAUCAGGAAGAAAGCUUGCUUUCUUUGCUGGCGACCGGCGCACGGGUGAGUAACACGUAUCCAACCUGCCCUUUACUCGGGGAUAGCCUUUCGAAAGAAAGAUUAAUACCCGAUGGCAUAGUUCUUCCGCAUGGUAGAACUAUUAAAGAAUUUCGGUCAUCGAUGGGGAUGCGUUCCAUUAGGUUGUUGGCGGGGUAACGGCCCACCAAGCCUUCGAUGGAUAGGGGUUCUGAGAGGAAGGUCCCCCACAUUGGAACUGAGACACGGUCCAA
rnacentral:rRNA from 1 species